AGCGGCGAACGGGUGAGUAACGCGUGAGCAAUCUACCUUAGUUACAGGGAUAGCCCGAGGAAACUCGGAUUAAUACCUGAUAUUCUUUAUUUCUCGCAUGAGAAUAAAAGGAAAGGUCAGCCGAACUAAGAUGAGCUCGCGUUCUAUCAGCUAGUCGGUGAGGUAAAAGCUUACCAAGGCUACGACGGAUAGCUGGUCUGAGAGGACGAUCAGCCACACUGGGACUGAGACACGGCCCAGACUCCUACGGGAGGCUGCAGCAGGGAAUAUUGUGCAAUGAACGAAAGUUUGACACAGCGACACCGCGUGUGGGAUGACGGAUCUAGGUUUGUAAACCACUUUCAGGAGGGAAGAAAAUGACGGUACCUCCACAAGAAGCCCCGGCCAACUACGUGCCAGCAGCCGCGGUAAUACGUAGGGGGCGAGCGUUGUCCGGAUUUAUUGGGCGUAAAGAGCUCGUAGGCGGUUCAACAAGUCGGUCGUGAAAGUUCAGGGCUCAACCCUGAAAUGUCGAUCGAUACUGUCGUGACUAGGAUACGGUAGAGGUGAGUGGAAUUCCGAGCGUAGCGGUGAAAUGCGUAGAUAUUCGGAGGAACACCAAUUGCGAAGGCAGCUCAUUGGGCCGCUAUCGACGCUGGGGAGCGAAAGCUAGGGGAGCAAACAGGAUUAGAUACCCUGGUAGUCCUAGCUGUAAACGAUGGAUACUAGAUGUAAGAACUGGAUUGACGGUUUCUGUAUCGCAACUAACGCGUUAAGUAUCCCGCCUGGGGAGUAC
rnacentral:rRNA from 1 species